rnacentral:tRNA from 1 species
GGGAAAUGGCCUAACGGUCAGAGUACCUGCCCCUGAAACAUAAGGUCCCGGGUUCGAUUCUUGGUAG